rnacentral:rRNA from 1 species
CCUACGGGUGGCAGCAGUGAGGGAUAUUGGUCAAUGGCCGGAAGGCUGAACCAGCCAUGCCGCGUGAAGGUCAGUGCGCUAUGGGCGGUAAAGUUCUUUUGUGCGGGAGCAAUAAUGGUCACGUGUGGCCAGACGAGAGUACCGUACGAAUAAGCAUCGGCUAACUUCGUGCCAGCAGCCGCGGGAAUACGGGGGGUGCAAGCGUUAUCCGGGUUUAAUGGGGUGAAAGGGUGCGUAGGCUGUGGGGGAAGUCAGCGGUGGAAGGCCCCCGCUCAACGGGGGGAAGUGCCAUUGAUACUGCCUGGCUAGAGUGCGGAAGGCGUGGGAGGAAUGUGUGGUGUAGCGGUGAAAUGCAUAGAUAUCA